AUUGAACGCUGGCGGCAGGCUUAACACAUGCAAGUCGAGCGGGCGAGGUUGCUUCGGUAACUGAGCUAGCGGCGGACGGGUGAGUAAUGCUUAGGAAUCUGCCUAUUAGUGGGGGACAACAUUCCGAAAGGAAUGCUAAUACCGCAUACGCCCUACGGGGGAAAGCAGGGGAUCUUCGGACCUUGCGCUAAUAGAUGAGCCUAAGUCAGAUUAGCUAGUUGGUGAGGUAAAGGCCUACCAAGGCGACGAUCUGUAGCGGGUCUGAGAGGAUGAUCCGCCACACUGGGACUGAGACACGGCCCAGACUCCUACGGGAGGCAGCAGUGGGGAAUAUUGGACAAUGGGCGCAAGCCUGAUCCAGCCAUGCCGCGUGUGUGAAGAAGGCCUUUUGGUUGUAAAGCACUUUAAGCGAGGAGGAGGCUACUUGGAUUAAUACUCUAGGACAGUGGACGUUACUCGCAGAAUAAGCACCGGCUAACUCUGUGCCAGCCGCCGCAGUAAAAC
rnacentral:rRNA from 1 species